GAUAACUCAGGUACGGGUCAAAGCCGCAUGCCACAGCCCCCACGUCAGGAUCAAGCUUCAUCUUGUCCAUCAGGGUGCUCAGACUGCCCCCGUCGUACACCUCAGGCUGGGAGAGACAAGCAACCGGCAGAUGGCGCCGCUUGUGAGAGGAUGACUGAUGCGUCAUUAUUCGCUGGCAGUCUGCACCAUCGGGUAGUCCAGCUACAAGGAUUUAUUUAUCUUCACACGGCCUGGAAGGUCUGUGCCUGACCGUGGAUGGGAUAUAGCCGCCUCAGUGGCCACAUGCACAGGCCAGCGUCGCCUGAGCCCUGAGGAACACUCUCCUCGGUGCCCCACACAGCCACACAGCACCUGCAGGCUCUCCCUCCAGAAAAGUGGACGACUCGCCAUGAUGUGACAAGAUAACCUGCCAGUUACCAACACCUUUGAGGCACUAAAGGCUUUGGCACCACAGCCUGCAAGGCCCACACGUCCCCAACAACAACAGUGUUAACAAGGGCAAGGCCUGUGCCAGGAUGGCAGAUGUGAUGGUGCCCGAACAGCUGGUACACACCAGUGAGGUGGUGGUGUUGCUGGGGAACAGCUGGUUUGCCAAGUGCAGUGCCAAGCAGGCCGCCCACACUGUCAGCAGGAGGAUCAGGGCCUGGAAGGUCUGUGCCUGACCGUGGAUGGGAUAUAGGCCGCCUCAGUGGCCACAUGCACAGGCCAGCGUCGUCUGAGCCCUGAGGAACACUCUCCUCGGUUGCCCCACACAGCACCUGCAGGCUCUCCCUCCAGAAAAGUGGACGACUCACCAUGAUGUGACAAGAUAACCUGCCAGUUACCAACACCUUUGAGGCACUAAAAGGCUUUGGCACCACAGCCUGCAAGGCCCACACGUCCCCAACAACAACAGUGUUAACAAGGGCAAGGCCUGUGCCAGGAUGCCAGAUGUGAUGGUGCCUGAACAGCUGGUACAACACCAGUGAGGUAGUGGUGUUGCUGGGGAACAGCUGGUUUGCCAAGUGCAGUGCCAAGCAGGCCGCCCCACAACUGUCAGCAGGAGGAUCAGGGCCUGGAAGGUCUGUGCCUGACCGUGGAUGGGAUAUAGCCGCCUCAGUGGCCACAUGCACAGUCCAGCGUCGCCUGAGCCCUGAGGAACACUCUCCUCGGUGCCCCACACAGCCACACAGCACCUGCAGGCUCUCCCUCCAGAAAAGUGGACGACUCGCCAUGAUGUGACAAGAUAACCUGCCAGUUACCAACACCUUUGAGGCACUAAAGGCUUUGGCACCACAGCCUGCAAGGCCCACACAUCCCCAACAACAACAGUGUUAACAAGGGCAAGGCCUGUGCCAGGAUGCCAGGAUCCCCCUCCUCUUUCCUUCUCUCUUACCUUUUAACUCUCUCACACUCCCUCUCCACUUCUCUCCUCUCCCCAUGCAACCCUCUCCAGUCCUCCCCUCUCCCUCUCUCACCUGUCUCGUCCACUUCGAGCAGAAACUGUGGGUUGGUGGCAAACUUUUCAAAGUCGUUCCUGCUUCCUCCUGCUGUCCUGCCCACCAUCCACUCUCCCCUGAUGGCCUUUACCUGGACAGCAGAAGUAGCAUCCACCGUCCCGUCGUGAUCGAAGUCUGGGCCCAGCGUGCAGACAGUCACCUCCUCAAACUCGUCACAGAAGUCUUGGUAGCUCAUCCAAAAUUCCCCGUCAUGCAGAGAGGAGCUGGACCGGCCUGCUCCUAGGCGACUCUUCUGCUUGGAAUCUACGCCGCUCCACCUCUCGUCCCUGUGGCGGUGGUGGUGGUGUUACUGUUAAUGGUACUGUUUCUUGGUGGUGGUGAUGGUGAAAGGAAGAUGGUUGUUACUGAUGCUGUUGUUGUUGUUGAUGUUAUUUCUUCUACUACUGCUACUAUUGUGUGUGUGGUGAAAUGACGGUGUUUACUGCUACUACUGCUGCUGCUAUUACUACAACUACAACAACUACUACUACUACUACUACUACUACUACUACUACUACUACUACUACUACUACUA